rnacentral:lncRNA from 1 species
CCAGCAUGUUAUUUCAAUUGGAGCUGUGGAUUGUCUGCUAGACGGCUGAACUCCGAUUAGAGCAGCUUUCCUUCCGAAGCCAGGAGCAUCUGCUUCUGAAAGUGCCCCUUUGCUCCCGUCUCUCCCAGAGUGCCCCCUCUUCAGAAAGUCCCACUUCGACACAACCAGGGCCUGGGAACAGGGAAUAUUCCUGAACUCGGCGUGUCUUCGCCAAGCAGUGUCGCCAGUUCAGCUCUCUGAAAUGCUGCUUUCCGAUGAGAAAACAGACGGGACUCAGUGUCGCCGGCGAUUUACAUUUCCCUCAAAAGCUCUAUGUUCCUGCAACAUUGUUCCCCGAGCCCACCGUAAGUGACAGCAGGAAAAAAAAACAAUGGGAGUAAGCGAAGAAUAAAGGUAAAGGUUCAAGACCAACAGAGAGAAGGAACUAAGGCUUGCCACGGGGCACAUUAAAAAUGAAGAAUAAAACAGAAAGACAUCUGCCCCCUCUGCUGCCCAGCACGGCUGAGCCAUUUCCAGCAGUGACUUCAUCAGUGACCAGCCCAAACUGGAGAAUGUGAAAGUCAUCUUUCAUAGAGAUAGGACAAAAAUACUGAUCACACACAGCCUUCUCACAACUGUGAUGGAGGAAGAACAAACCCCAAUGAGAGGAAACUGCAGGCAAUCCAUGUGCUUGGUUGAAAAUACAGUUUGCUUUGUGUUUUCUAAUGGACAUUACUGCAAUGAGGGAAAUAGCAUGUUUGUUUUUACAGGCUUUUAGAAAAUACAGAAAUGACAAAGUUCAUCUACAAGCCAGAUGCUCGGCACAAACCAGAAAGAGCUCAAUCUACUAAAACUAGGAUGCCACAACUUUGGGGUCAAAAAUUGUAAUUAUAAUUUAGCAUGGAUAUGUAUGGUGACUGUUGGGAAUGGUAGUGAGAAUUAGGUUUUUUUUUUCCUAUGGCCUUACACUUGGGAAUAGUUUAUAGUGAAUCUUCAUAUCUUCUACCACAAAGUAUUACUGUUUUGUCCGUAGUAAGUUUGGUUAUAAUGAACUUUUAAAACCCAGAAGAAAGUUUAAAAACUCAAACCAGAAACACAAACAGGAUCAGAUGCCAAAAGCAACAUGAACUUGAGGGGGAAAAUGAUAAAAAUUUGGCCAGG